GAUGAAGAACGUAGCGAAAUGCGAUAAGUAAUGUGAAUUGCAGAAUUCAGUGAAUCAUCGAAUCUUUGAACGCACAUUGCGCCCGCUAGUAUUCUGGCGGGCAUGCCUGUCCGAGCGUCAUUAUCACCCCUCAAGCCCCCUUGGCUUGGUGUUGGACGGUUUUGGUGGGGACGUGCAGCCUCUCACCCCUCCUAAAGACAAUGACGGCGGCGUCGUUGGGACCCCCGGUACACUGAGCUUCUUAACUGAGCACGUACUGGACGCGGGUACGCGACGCACGGUCUGCCUCCCCUUUAAGGGAGAACUUUUUCUUAAGGUUGACCUCGGAUCAGGUAGGAAUACCCGCUGAACUUAAGCAUAUCAAUAAGCGGAGGA
rnacentral:misc_RNA from 1 species